rnacentral:rRNA from 1 species
UACGUAGGGGGCGAGCGUUGUCCGAAGUUACUGGGCGUAAAGGGCCCGUAGGCGGCCAACUAAGUCGGAUGUGAAAUCCCCAGGCUCAACUUGGGAACUGCAUCCGAUACUGGAUGGCUUGAAUUCGGGAGAGGGAUGCAGAAUUCCAGGUGUAGCGGUGAAAUGCGUAGAUAUCUGGAGGAAUACCGGUGGCGAAGGCGGCAUCCUGGACCGACAUUGACGCUGAGGAGCGAAAGCUAGGGGAGCAAACGGG